GACGAACGCUGGCGGCGUGCUUAACACAUGCAAGUCGAACGGAAGGGCCUCUUUCGGGGGGUACUCGAGUGGCGAACGGGUGAGUAACACGUGAGUAACCUGCCCUUGACUUUGGGAUAACUUCAGGAAACUGGGGCUAAUACCGGAUAGGAGCUCCUGCUGCAUGGUGGGGGUUGGAAAGUUUCGGCGGUUGGGGAUGGACUCGCGGCUUAUCAGCUUGUUGGUGGGGUAGUGGCUUACCAAGGCUUUGACGGGUAGCCGGCCUGAGAGGGUGACCGGCCACAUUGGGACUGAGAUACGGCCCAGACUCCUACGGGAGGCAGCAGUGGGGAAUAUUGCACAAUGGGUGGAAGCCUGAUGCAGCAACGCCGUGUGCGGGAUGACGGACUUCGGGUUGUAAACCGCUUUCGCUCAUGACGAAGCUUUGUGUGACGGUAGUGGGUAAAGAAGCACCGGCUGACUACGUG
rnacentral:rRNA from 1 species